AACAAAAAUACCUCAACAAAACCCUUUCAUCUCUUCUCUUCGUUGUAUUAUCCUAUCCUCUUCUCAGAUUCAGCUGCAUUCAUCGGGUGAAGAUUCACAAUAUGUGGAGCAGUUGUGGAAAUUAUUUUCGAGAAAAAAUGAUAUUGCAAUUGGGAACGUUGCGGAACUAGUGAAUCCCUUCGGAUACCAAGUUCUGCAGUACCCAGCAACAGUGAGCGGUGCAGUGAGCCAUAGAUGAUUGGCAUGUUGAAGAGCCAGGUAAAGGAUAUUGUCCAAAAAAAAAAAAAGCAAAUUGAAAGAGAAGAUGAAAGUAACAUCGGGUGACAAUUUUUUUAAAAGAGGGGCCAUGUUACCCUAAUUUAUAGGCUACAAUAUAAGGAGUUGGAAUAUGGUGCUGCAAAGCACUGUAUUUGCAACUGUUAUUAAUGUAGAAGUGGAACAUAUUUUUCUGGGUGGCUAUAAUAUAUGUUGAAUAAGUUCACUGA